rnacentral:rRNA from 1 species
GAUUAGAUACCCCGGUAGUCCACGCUGUAAACGAUGGAUGCUAGCAGUGUGCCGUAUCGACCCGGUGCGUUGCGAAGCUAACGCAUUAAGCAUCCCGCCUGAGUAGUACGAUCGCAAGAUUAAAACUCAAAGGAAUUGACGGGGACCCGCACAAGCGGUGGAGCGUGUUGUUUAAUCGGAUGGUAAGCCUAGAACCUUACCAGGGUUUGACAUCCUUGGAAUUUCGCCGAAAGGUGAGAGUGCUUUAUUGAGCCAAGUGACAGGUGAUGCAUGGCCGUCGUCAGCUCGUGUCGUGAGAUGUUUGGUUAAGUCCAUCAACGAGCGCAACCCUUAUGGUUAGUUGGAUUUUUCUAGCCAGACUGCCUCGGUAACGGGGAGGAAGGAGGGGAUGAUGUCAGGUCGUUAUUUCCCUUACACCCUGGGCUACAAACGCGCUACAAUGGCCGGUACAAUGGGCAGCCAAGCUGUGAAGCGGAGCAAAUCCCAUCAAAGCCGGUCCCAGUUCGGAUAAGAGGCUGAAACUCGCCUCUUUGAAGUCGGAAUCGCUAGUAAUCGCAGGUCAGCACACUGCGGUGAAUACGUUCCCGGGUCUUGUACACACCGCCCGUCAAGCCAUGAAAGUCACCAACACCCGAAGUCUGAAUUUAUUUCGGCCUAAGGUGGGGGGGAUAAUUGGGGUU